rnacentral:tRNA from 1 species
GCCGGGAUGGCGGAAUAGGUAGACGCGGCGGACUCAAAAUCCGCUGGCCUUCGGGCCUUGGGAGUUCGAGUCUCCCUCCCGGCACCA